rfam:Tupaia chinensis contig92635, whole genome shotgun sequence.
CCACUGGUCUCUUUGGAGACCAUAUAGGUGAACCAAAAAAAUGUCA